UUGAGAUUUGGGAAUAGGGUUGUACCUGAUUUGUGACUAUUGAGUUUCCGCGUUCAUCUUCCUCUCUUAACGAGUUCAGCGGCGUGGUGAGCUUCGCUCUCCUCUCCGAUCCAAAAAAUUACAGCGCUGCCGUGAACCUCCUUGCUUCAAUCAUCACCUCUCCGUCUCUCAAUCCAACUCUCCAUCUUGAUUCAGCCUUAGACAUGAUUACGAACCCUAAGGCGAAGACCAGAGUUUAAGAGAAGGAAGUCCCGCGGUGAGAUGAAUACGAUGACUCUCGUGAAGUAAACGCGACGAAGAAGGAGAGGACCUCAGUCUCAGGCGUUAUGCAGUGUUAUUGAGAUGAAGAUUGAUGCGUUUGUGAGGAUGAGUUGAUUCAAGGUUGUUGCGGUCAGAAGAGAUGAAGAUGAUGAGAAUUCAUGGAGAUUGGUGAAGAUGAUGAAUCAAGAGAAUGAAGAUUGAGGAUGAAGGGAAAGGGAGCAGAGAAGGUCGAGAUGGGAGAGAUUGUAGAUAGUUCUUGAAGGUGUUUGAAGAUGCUUAUGAAGAAUGGAGAUUGAAGAUAAAGGUGAGCUCAGAAGGGAUGGAAGAGGAUGAUUGAAGAUGAUGAUGGUUAGCAAGGUCAAGAAGAUGGUUUUAGGAAGAGAAGGAAAAUGGUGAAGUGAAGAUUAGAGGAAGAUGAAUGUAGUGUGAAAUUGGUGGAGAGAGUGAUUUGAUGAAGAGGAUAAAAAUGGUGGAGGAGAAGAAGUAGUGGAGAUGAAGAAUGGGAGUGAAGUGAAGAUGGUGAUGAUGAAUGGUUGCUGAGUUUCUAGGAAGAAUGAAUCGAAAGAGAGUGAGAAGUGAAGUGGAGUGUGGUUGAAGAGUGUGAAGAUUGAAUGGAUCGAGAGAGCCAAAUGAUGAAGCAAGCUUUGAUUUUAUAGAAGUGGAGGAGAUUGAAUUUCUGAGGUACAAACUGAUCUCUCAACUGAUGGCAGAUUGCUUUUCAUGGUGAUAUCAGUUGUCAUAAUAAGCUGGGAGCUUUUUGAUACCGUUCUGUGCCGAAUCAUCCGAAUCAGUUUAUCAGGUGGUGUUGAACCGUUUUUCUACUGCAUAGCCUUAGUUUACAAAUGUCGUAUUUUUAGUCAUGUGGAUUCACUUGGUUUUAGACCUGAACAUGGCAUGUGCACGAAUUUGACUUGCUUGAAUCUUUUCCUUUUCUGUACUUUGGUUUGAUUUGGUAGGCUUACUGUAUGAACAUGACAGGUUUGGACAUGAUUUUGUAUGGUUUAUUUGGUAAUAAUUAUGUGGUUAGAGUGUUUAUGUAUGUAUGAUAUGGGGCUGUUUUUCUUUUAUGCAGGAUAUUAACAAAUGGAGAUGAGGACAGUGGCUACAGACUUGGUACAAAGAGUUUAGCAUGAGGACUUAUUGGCAAACAAUGAAAAUGGAGUGGAAUUGUCAGGAUUAAUAUAGGGAUAGUUAGAGACUUAGGUUAACCUAGGCUAAAAUAUGUAUUGUUGUAGCCUUUUUCAAUGCAAGAUGUAAUGGACAUGUUUCUUUUUUUGGAUUUUGUAACGAACAACUUUUGGGUUUUAAUGUGAUCUUUGA